rnacentral:rRNA from 2 species
GGACUACUGGGGUAUCUAAUCCCGUUUGCUCCCCUGGCUUUCGUGCAUGAGCGUCAGGAACUGUCCAGAGACCCGCCUUCGCCACCGGUGUUCUGGUCGAUCUCUACGCAUUUCACCGCUACACCGACCAUUCCAGUCUCCUCUCCAGUCCUCAAGCCCGCCAGUUUCGAAUGACCUAUCACAGUUAGGCUGUGAGAUUUCACAUCCGACUUAACAGACCGCCUGCGCACCCUUUACGCCCAAUGAAUCCGAACAACGCUUGCCGUCUCUGUAUUACCGCGGCUGCUGGCAC